AGUGAACGCUGGCGGUAGGCCUAACACAUGCAAGUCGGACGGCAGCACAGUAAGAGCUUGCUCUUACGGGUGGCGAGUGGCGGACGGGUGAGGAAUACAUCGGAAUCUACUUUUUCGUGGGGGAUAACGUAGGGAAACUUACACUAAUACCGCAUACGACCUACGGGUGAAAGCAGGGGAUCUUCGGACCUUGCGCGAUUGAAUGAGCCGAUGUCGGAUUAGCUAGUUGGCGGGGUAAAGGCCCACCAAGGCGACGAUCCGUAGCUGGUCUGAGAGGAUGAUCAGCCACACUGGAACUGAGACACGGUCCAGACUCCUACGGGAGGCAGCAGUGGGGAAUAUUGGACAAUGGGCGCAAGCCUGAUCCAGCCAUACCGCGUGGGUGAAGAAGGCCUUCGGGUUGUAAAGCCCUUUUGUUGGGAAAGAAAAGCAGCAGGUUAAUACCCCGCUGUUCUGACGGUACCCAAAGAAUAAGCACCGGCUAACUUCGUG
rnacentral:rRNA from 1 species